rnacentral:rRNA from 1 species
UACGGGGGGGGCAAGCGUUGUUCGGAAUUACUGGGCGUAAAGGGCUCGUAGGCGGCCAACUAAGUCAGACGUGAAAUCCCUCGGCUUAACCGGGGAACUGCGUCUGAUACUGGAUGGCUUGAGUUUGGGAGAGGGAUGCGGAAUUCCAGGUGUAGCGGUGAAAUGCGUAGAUAUCUGGAGGAACACCGGUGGCGAAGGCGGCAUCCUGGACUAACACUGACGCUGAGGAGCGAAAGCCAGGGGAGCAAACGGG